CCAAUAGCGUAUAUUAAAGUUGUUGCAGUUAAAAAGCUCGUAGUUGAAUUUCGGGAUCAGUACGCUGGUCAUGCCUUUGGUAUGCACUGGUGUCACUGGUUUCUCCCUUCUGACGAUCCGUGAUGUCAUUAAUUUGGUGUCGCGGGGAAUCAGGACUGUUACUUUGAAAAAAUUAGAGUGUUUAAAGCAGGCUCACGCUUGAAUACAUUAGCAUGGAAUAAUGAAAUAGGACGUUUGACCCUAUUUUGUUGGUUUCUAGGAUCGACGUAAUGAUUAAUAGGGAUAGUUGGGGGCAUUAGUAUUCAAUUGUCAGAGGUGAAAUUCUUGGAUUUAUUGAAGACUAACUACUGCGAAAGCAUUUGCCAAGGAUGUUUUCAUUAAUCAAGAACGAAAGUUAGGGGAUCGAAGACGAUCAGAUACCGUCGUAGUCUUAACCAUAAACUAUGCCGACUAGGGAUCGGAUGAUGUUAAUUUUAUAAUGACUCAUUCGGCGCCUUAC
rnacentral:rRNA from 1 species